UCUAGCUUUGCUUCAUAGGUUCUCCAAAAAGAUAACCGACACAAAUGGUUGAGCUUUUCUUGCGGUGAUGAGAUGCUAACAUGUAAGAAGAAUCCCUUUAUGGGAAUCUUUCAAUGAAAUGUUCUUGUUACGCUUGGCUUCUGAGCAAAGUUUCUCAAUUCUUUGCUUUAUAGAUUCUCCAAAAGAUUACUGACACAAAAAUGGUUGAGCUUUUCUUGCGGUGAUGAGCAGCUAACAUGUAAGAAGAAUCCCUUUAUGGGUAUCUUUCAAUGAAAUUUUCUUGUUACGCUUGGCUUCUGAGCU